rnacentral:rRNA from 1 species
GACGAACGCUGGCGGCGUGCCUAAUACAUGCAAGUAGGACGCAGUUGCGCACGGGUGAGUAACGCGUAGGUAACUACCUAUUAGAGGGGGAUAACUAUUGGAAACGAUAGCUAAUACCGCAUACUAGUAGAUGGACCUGCGUUGUAUUAGCUAGUAGGGAGGGUAAUGGCCUACCUAGGCAACGAUACAUAGCCGAACGUGGAGGGUUAUCGGCCACAACGGGACUGAGUAACGGCCCAGGCUCCUACGGGAGGCAGCAGGAGGGAAUCUUUGGGAAUGGGGGGAACCCGUACCGGGCAACGCCGCGUGAGUGAAGAAGGUUUUCGGAUCGUAAAGCUCUGGUGUUAAGGAAGCGGUACUUAACCAGAAAGGGACGGCUAACUACGUGCCAGCAGCCGCGGUAAUAC